rnacentral:rRNA from 1 species
UGGGGAAUAUUGGACAAUGGGCGAAAGCCUGAUCCAGCCAUGCCGCGUGUGUGAAGAAGGUCUUCGGAUUGUAAAGCACUUUAAGUUGGGAGGAAGGGCAGUUACCUAAUACGUAUCUGUUUUGACGUUACCGACAGAAUAAGCACCGGCUAACUCUGUGCCAGCAGCCGCGGUAAUACAGAGGGUGCAAGCGUUAAUCGGAAUUACUGGGCGUAAAGCGCGCGUAGGUGGUUUGUUAAGUUGGAUGUGAAAUCCCCGGGCUCAACCUGGGAACUGCAUUCAAAACUGACAAGCUAGAGUAUGGUAGAGGGUGGUGGAAUUUCCUGUGUAGCGGUGAAAUGCGUAGAUAUAGGAAGGAACACCAGUGGCGAAGGCGACCACCUGGACUGAUACUGACGCUGAGACGCGAAAGCGUGGGGAGCAAACAGGAUUAGAUACCCCCGUAGUCCCUGAGCGGGCUGGCAAGGCGCAU